rnacentral:rRNA from 1 species
AUGUACCAGUUAGAUGAAAUGCUAGAUGGAGAGGUUAGUAGUGACCUUGGCAGCUUGGUCAUCGACUAUCUCUUGCUUGAUGAGAGUGUUGAGGCUGUAAUACAAGUCUCUGCAAAGAUUGACUGCCCUCAUCAUAUGAGAUUCACUGCAUUCACUAGUGGCUUUGAUGGUGAGAUUGUGCUGUUUGACGAUAAGUUCUCUGGGAAUGGAAAACUGUUCCAGUAUGUUGUCGCGGUGAAGGCUGAGGGGAAAUUGGACAUUUGCUUAAAAUUGGAGGAAUCAUUGUUUUGGUGGACUUUCCAGGAAGGAGCUGUUGGAGCUGUUAGGUUCCCUGAUGACUCGGUUUUGAAUUACGGGCAGUUUGAGGUGACGGUGCUUUUUGCUCCUAAGAACUUUACAAUGGCUGGCUGA